rnacentral:rRNA from 1 species
UACGUAGGGUCCGAGCGUUGUCCGGAAUUACUGGGCGUAAAGAGCUCGUAGGCGGUCUGUCGCGUCGAAUGUGAAAACCCGGGGCUCAACCCCGGGCCUGCAUUCGAUACGGGCAGACUAGAGUUCGGUAGGGGGAGACUGGAAUUCCUGGUGUAGCGGUGGAAUGCGUAGAGAUCCGGAGGAACACCGGUGGCGAAGGCGGGUCUCUGGGCCGUAACUGACGCUGAGGAGCGAAAGCGUGGGGAGCGAACAGG